CCUACGGGAGGCUGCAGUGAGGAAUAUUGGUCAAUGGGCGCGAGCCUGAACCAGCCAAGUAGCGUGAAGGAUGACGGCCCUACGGGUUGUAAACUUCUUUUAUCAAGGAGUAAAGUGAGCCACGCGUGCCUUUCCGAAAGUACCCGAAGAAAAAGCAUCGGCUAACUCCGUGCCAGCAGCCGCGGUAAUACGGAGGAUGCGAGCGUUAUCCGGAUUUUAUGGGUUUAAAGGGGGCGCAGGGGGGUAGUUAAGUCAGCUGGGAAAGUUGGGGGCUCAACCGUAGAAGUGCCAUUGAUACUGGUAUUCUUGAGUGAGGUUGAGGUAUGCGGAAUGCGUGGUGUAGCGGUGAAAUGCAUAGAUAUCACGAAGAACUCCGAUUGCGAAGGCAGCAUAC
rnacentral:rRNA from 1 species